rnacentral:rRNA from 1 species
GAUGAACGCUGGCGGCGUGCCUAAUACAUGCAAGUCGAGCGAACGGACGAGAAGCUUGCUUCCCUGAUGUUAGCGGCGGACGGGUGAGUAAUACGUGGAUAACCUACCUAUAUGACUGGGAUAACUUCGGGAAACCGGAGCUAAUACCGGCUAAUAUUUUGAACCGCAUGGUUCAAAAGUGAAAGACGGUCUUGCUGUCACUUAUAGAUGGAUCCGCGCUGCAUUAGCUAGUUGGUAAGGUAACGGCUUACCAAGGCAACGAUGCAUAGCCGACCUGAGAGCGUGAUCAGCCACACUGGAACUGAGACACGGUCCAGACUCCUACUGGAGGCAACAGUAGGGAAUCUUCCGCGAUGGGCGAAAGCCUGACAGAGCAACACGGCGUCAGUGAUGAAGGUCUUCGGAUCGUAAGACUCUGUUAUUAGGGAAGAACAUAUGUGUAAGUAACUGUGCACAUCUUGACGGUACCUAAUCAGAAAGCCACGGCUAACUACGUG